CAGCUAGUUGGUGAGGUAACGGCUCACCAAGGCUAUGAUCGUUAGCUGGUCUGAGAGGAUGGCCAGCCACACUGGAACUGAGACACGGUCCAGACUCCUACGGGAGGCAGCAGUGGGGAAUCUUGCACAAUGGGCGAAAGCCUGAUGCAGCGACGCCGCGUGGGGGAUGAAGCUUUUCGGAGUGUAAACCCCUUUCGACCCGGACGAAUGCCCCGCAAGGGGACUGACGGUACGGGUAUAAGAAGCCCCGGCUAACUACGUGCCAGCAGCCGCGGUAAGACGUAGGGGGCCAGCGUUGCUCGGAAUUACUGGGUGUAAAGGGUUCGUAGGCGGUGUGGCAAGUCGGGAGUGAAAUCUCUGGGCUCAACCCAGAGGCUGCUUCCGAAACUGCUGUGCUUGAGUGUGGGAGAGGCGCGUGGAAUUGCAGGUGUAGCGGUGAAAUGCGUAGAUAUCUGCAGGAACACCCGUGGCGAAAGCGGCGCGCUGGACCACAACUGACGCUGAGGAACGAAAGCUAGGGGAGCAAACAGGAUUAGAUACCCUGGUAGUCCUAGCCCUAAACGAUCAGGACUUGGGGUGCUUCACGUUCGUGGAGCGUCCCGGAGCUAACGCGUUAAGUCCUGCACCUGGGGAGUACG
rnacentral:rRNA from 1 species